GCUAACUACGUGCCAGCAGCCGCGGUAAUACGUAGGGUACAAGCGUUGUCCGGAAUUAUUGGGCGUAAAGAGCUCGUAGGUGGUUGGUCACGUCUGCUGUGGAAACGCAACGCUUAACGUUGCGCGUGCAGUGGGUACGGGCUGACUAGAGUGCAGUAGGGGAGUCUGGAAUUCCUGGUGUAGCGGUGAAAUGCGCAGAUAUCAGGAGGAACACCGGUGGCGAAGGCGGGACUCUGGGCUGUAACUGACGCUGAGGAGCGAAAGCAUGGGGAGCGAACAGGAUUAGAUACCCUUGUAGUC
rnacentral:rRNA from 1 species